rnacentral:tRNA from 1 species
GGCUUUACAGUUACAUAGUAACAUUAGACUGCAAUUCUAGAAGGGUGUUUUACACUAAGGCUUAAA